rnacentral:rRNA from 1 species
AAACCAGCACCUCAAGUGGUCAGGAGGAUUAUUGGGCCUAAAGCAUCCGUAGCCUGCUCUGUAAGUUUCCGGUUAAAUCCAUUAGCUUAACUGAUGGGCCGCCGAAAAUACUGUAGAACUAGGGAGUGGGAGAGGUAGACGGUAUUCGGUAGGAAGGGGUAAAAUCCUUUGAUCUAUUGAGGACCACCUGUGGCGAAGGCGGUCUACCAGAACACGUUCGACGGUGAGGGAUGAAAGCUGGGGGAGCAAACCGGAUUAGAAACCCCAGUAGUCC